UUCAAAGCUUAGAAGACCUGAGUGCUUCAUUUGAAGCUUUAGGUCUUUUUGAGCAUAUGAAUCUUUUCGUUUGAGGAAGGGCAUUCGAAAAACCCUCGUUUCCUCUGUGUUUUGGCUAAACGAAUCUGGACCAGGUAUUGAGUCCUUCUUCUUCGUUCUUCCUUUUUCUUCCUUCAGUUUUCUCUUUCUUCUUCGAUCCAAAUCUCCACUCGUACCUUGAUUCCGUUCAGAUCUGAUUUCUCACUUUCUCUGUCCGAAGUCAAGAAAUCUGAUUCAAAACCAGUACAAAUGAAAUAAAGUAAGACCCAAAGCAAUUUGCCAUCAGUCAUCACCCUUCCAUUCUGCAAUCAUUAGCUGCAAUGU